UACGUAGGUGGCAAGCGUUGUCCGGAAUUAUUGGGCGUAAAGAGCGCGCAGGCGGUCGUUCAAGUCGAGUGUGAAAGCCCCCGGCUCAACUGGGGAGGGUCACUCGAUACUGAUCGACUUGAAGGCGGGAGAGGGAAGCGGAAUUCCCGGUGUAGUGGUGAAAUGCGUAGAUAUCGGGAGGAACACCAGUGGCGAAGGCGGCUUUCUGGCCCGUUCUUGACGCUGAGGCGCGAAAGCUAGGGUAGCAAAACGGG
rnacentral:rRNA from 1 species